rnacentral:lncRNA from 1 species
AGAAACCUGAAGUUGGAAAACUGGUUGCCUGACAUUCUGUGCAAGACUGAAUCUCUGAGAAAUGAAGGCUGUGUAACUUUGGGACCAUGUCUUUUCCAGCCUACAUAGACCCCCAGGAAACUUUGCAGUUGUUCCCCAAGUAUGGAUGGAGUCAAACUUGAUGUCCUUUCAUCCCCCCAUCCCAUCCACUAAUCCAUAUCCUUUGGAAAUUUUAGAGUGCCGGGCCUCAUGUAAAUACACCAAAAACAAUUUAAGUCAUUUAUGUUCUACUAAGCCAAGAGUUCUUUAGCGGUGGAAGAAGAUGGGGUCUUACACGAAUGGAAGGGUCUUGGCUAUUUGCGUCGGUAUCAACAGAAGGACUAGACGCUUGCACUAAAAGAAAAAGCUGAGGGAUGGGGGCAGGAAGCGGGAAGCUGGGACCCAAGCCCCACCUUCCUGAGUUGGAAGGUGACAGGUAGACUCCUGCUUGUUUGCCAGAGAGGCCUGGCAGAGGAGGUGCAUCCCAGCACAGAAGGGCAGCACAGAGGCAGCCUGAGAAGAUUCUGUCGCUGCCAGGUCACCAGGACCUCUGGACCACAGCUGGGUUGCGCUGUUUUCCAGUUUGUGAAACUAGGACUUUGGGGAACAUCCUGUGAAUUGGUGUCAUUUUGAUUUUCCUGGAGGAUUUUUGAGGUCAGCGUGACUGCUGUCACGAACUAAAAUAAAAUCCGAAGUCCCCAAGUGACUGAACAGACCCCCUCUUGGCCAAGGGGACCCCAGAGAAACCUGAAAGCUGAGCUCCCAGCCAUGAGGGGACGGGCGAUCGGACACGCUUCAUCACAGUCCCUCCCCUUUGUGGUUUAAACGACGAUGAUCGGCUGUCAUGCUAAAAUAGAGACACGAGACCGACAGCACAGACUCCUUAUGGCAAUAAGACACCAAAUUAUAAGCAGCACCUCAGGCCACGCCAGGUAAGGGUCGAGCCGCGCACUCUACACUUAGAGAACGGACUCUGCUCUCACACCACAGCGUCUUCUUUUUCUUCAGCAGCUAAACACGCACCGGCCCCGAGAUUCAAACGACUGCAGCUCAUCCACCUGCAGACGCUGGCUGACCCCGUUCCACAGCUGUGACUAUAGCUUUGAUUGGACAAGAGGUUGAUUUCAGUCUCCUGGUAAGAGACCACCAACCAUAGACCUGGUUCAGGCUGAUUAUAGAAGCUGCACACUUGUAUGCCUUCGAGUCCCUGCCUCACCUUUUGACGUGUAGGGACUCAUUGUAAUGCUUUUAAAUGUGAAGCCUCCACCCCAAAGUGAACAUGGGACGCAUGUAACGUGCAUGUUCAGUGGGCACGGCUCAGGACUCUCUUUGUGAAUAUUCAUAGCUCCUCCUGGAACCUGAAUAUGUAUGUUUGGCCAGCUCAAUUCAGCAUGGCUGGGGAAACAGAGGAAGCCUGUGAUCAAGGUCCAGAACGCACCCAUGGAUUUUUGGCCCUGUCCCAGGGAAUCUGGUUUGGUAGGCCUAGGAACCUGCAUUCUAAUGAGCACCUCCAAGUGAACUCCAGGUUGGGGAA